GCUUUGAAGUGUGGACGCCAGUCUGCAUGGAGCCGACCUUGAAAUACCACCCUUUAAUGUUUGAUGUUCUAACGUGGACCCGUAAUCCGGGUUGCGGACAGUGUCUGGUGGGUAGUUUGACUGGGGCGGUCUCCUCCUAAAGAGUAACGGAGGAGCACGAAGGUUGGCUAAUCCUGGUCGGACAUCAGGAGGUUAGUGCAAUGGCAUAAGCCAGCUUGACUGCGAGCGUGACGGCGCGAGCAGGUGCGAAAGCAGGUCAUAGUGAUCCGGUGGUUCUGAAUGGAAGGGCCAUCGCUCAACGGAUAAAAGGUACUCCGGGGAUAACAGGCUGAUACCGCCCAAGAGUUCAUAUCGACGGCGGUGUUUGGCACCUCGAUGUCGGCUCAUCACAUCCUGGGGCUGAAGUAGGUCCCAAGGGUAUGGCUGUUCGCCAUUUAAAGUGGUACGCGAGCUGGGUUUAGAACGUCGUGAGACAGUUCGGUCCCUAUCUGCCGUGGGCGCUGGAGAACUGAGGGGGGCUGCUCCUAGUACGAGAGGACCGGAGUGGACGCAUCACUGGUGUUCGGGUUGUCAUGCCAAUGGCACUGCCCGGUAGCUAAAUGCGGAAGAGAUAAGUGCUGAAAGCAUCUAAGCACGAAACUUGCCCCGAGAUGAGUUCUCCCUGAGACUUAGAGUCUCCUGAAGGAACGUUGAAGACG
rnacentral:rRNA from 1 species